rnacentral:rRNA from 1 species
GGGCCUGCGUCCCAUUAGCUAGUUGGUAGGGUAAUGGCCUACCAAGGCAACGAUGAGUAGCUGGUCUGAGAGGAUGAUCAGCCACACUGGAACUGAAACACGGUCCAGACUCCUACGGGAGGCAGCAGUGGGGAAUAUUGCGCAAUGGGCGAAAGCCUGACGCAGCAACGCCGUGUGAGGGAUGAAGGCUUUCGGGUCGUAAACCUCUGUCGGAAGGGAAGAACGGGCAUUGGUCUAAUAGGCCUUUGUUUUGACGGUACCUUUAGAGGAAGCACCGGCUAACUCCGUGCCAGCAGCCGCGGUAAUACGGAGGGUGCAAGCGUUAUUCGGAAUUACUGGGCGUAAAGCGCACGUAGGCCGCUUUGUAAGUCAGGGGUGAAAUCCCACGGCUCAACCGUGGAACUGCCUUUGAAACUGCAGAGCUUGAAUCCUGGAGAGGGUGGCGGAAUUCCUGGCGUAGGAGUGAAAUCCGUAGAUAUCAGGAGGAACACCGGUGGCGAAGGCGGCCACCUGGACAGGCAUUGACGCCGAGGUGCGAAAGUGUGGGGAGCAAACAGGAUUAGAUACCCUGGUAGUCCACACCGUAAACGAUGAACACUAGGUGUCGGAG